CGGAUUAGAGCCAGGUUGGAAAGGCGCCUCAUUUGGGUUGAGGAUUUCUUAUGUUCGAGUCAUAAUAAUCCGA
rnacentral:tRNA from 1 species